CAGCAGCCGCGGUAAUACGGAGGAUCCAAGCGUUAUCCGGAAUCAUUGGGUUUAAAGGGUCCGUAGGCGGUCUUAUAAGUCAGUGGUGAAAGCCCAUCGCUCAACGAUGGAACUGCCAUUGAUACUGUAAGACUUGAAUGCUUAGGAAGUAAUUAGAAUAUGUAGUGUAGCGGUGAAAUGCUUAGAUAUUACAUGGAAUACCAAUUGCGAAGGCAGGUUACUACUAAGUGAUUGACGCUGAUGGACGAAAGCGUGGGGAGCGAACAGGAUUAGAUACCCUGGUAGUCCACGCCGUAAACGAUGAUUACUAAGUGUUGGAGCAAUUCAGUGCUGCAGUUAACACAAUAAGUAAUCCGCCUGGGGAGUAUGCACGCAAGUGUGAAACUCAAAGGAAUUGACGG
rnacentral:rRNA from 1 species